rnacentral:lncRNA from 1 species
CCAUGCACCAAGGAAAUUGAACUACUGUCUCUAAAUUCUUUCUCCUGGGAAUCACAACAAAGCCUAAAGAGCAGCAGUUUAUCUUCAUGCUGUUUCUAUGCACGUAUCUGGUCACUAUGGUAAGAAAUUUACUUAUCAUCCUGGCCGUUGUCAGUGAUGCUCACCUCCAUGGCCCCAUAUAUUUCUUCCUUGCCAAUCUAUCUUUCACUAACGUCUGCAUCACAACCACUACAGUCCCCAAAAUCUUGGCAGAUAUUCAAAGCCAGAAUUCAACCAUAUCCUUUGAAGGAUGCCCUGCACAAAUGUAGUUUUAAAUAUUCCUGGUGGAUCUGGAUAAUUUCCUAUUGGUAGACAUGGCAUAUAAUUGAUACAUUGCCAUCUGUCACCCAUUACACUAUAUGUGGUAGUACUGAGUCCCAAGAACUGUGCCCUGUUGGUUGUGACUCCAUGGGUUAUCUCCAACCUUGUCUCAAUACUGCAUCUCAGUCUGCUAAGCCACUUAACUUUCUGUGAUUUCACAUAUCUUCUAUGACCUGGAACCCAUUUUAGGGCUUGCUUGCUCAGACACCCAAAUCAACAACUUGAUAAUUACUGCCAUUGGGGAAGUAGUUAUCUUCAUCCCCUUUACCUUCACAUUCUUGUCUCCUAUGGCCUUAUUGGCAGCACUAUGCUUGGAGUUCCAUCAGCCAAGGGGAAGUAGAAAACAUUCUCUACAUGUGGUUCCCAUCUCUCAGUUGUGCCCCAGGUCUUCUAUGGGUUCAUCAUUGGAGUCUACUUUCUCUCCUUUUUUGCCUACUCAGCAGAAAGGGAUGAGGUAGCUGCUAUCAUGUAUACAACUGUAACUCACUUGAUCAAAUCAUUUAUCUGUAGUCUAAGGAACGAGGACAUGAAAGGAGCACUGAGGAGACCACUCAGC